AUGCAGCCAAUUAAGCCGGCUCUGCUCUUUGUCUAUGGGCGCCUAGUGUGCCAUGACUGCAAACAGUAGGCUCCUCAGUAGUGUAUGCAGCCUGUUGAUUGUACGGGUUGCCCUAAGGGACCUUGGAGACAACC